GACGAACGCUGGCGGCGUGCUUAACACAUGCAAGUCGAACGGAAAGGCCCUGCUUUUGUGGGGUGCUCGAGUGGCGAACGGGUGAGUAACACGUGAGUAACCUGCCCUUGACUUUGGGAUAACUUCAGGAAACUGGGGCUGAUACCGGAUAGGAGCUCCUGCUGCAUGGUGGGGGUUGGAAAGUUUCGGCGGUUGGGGAUGGACUCGCGGCUUAUCAGCUUGUUGGUGGGGUAGUGGCUUACCAAGGCUUUGACGGGUAGCCGGCCUGAGAGGGUGACCGGCCACAUUGGGACUGAGAUACGGCCCAGACUCCUACGGGGGGCAGCAGUGGGGAAUAUUGCACAAUGGGCGGAAGCCUGAUGCAGCAACGCCGCGUGCGGGAUGACGGCCUUCGGGUUGUAAACCGCUUUCGCCUGUGACGAAGCGUGAGUGACGGUAAUGGGUAAAGAAGCACCGGCUAACUACGUG
rnacentral:rRNA from 1 species